rnacentral:rRNA from 1 species
GCGCGUAGGCGGCCCUAUAAGUCAGAUGUGAAAGCCCGGGGCUCAACCCCGGAAGUGCAUUUGAAACUGCCUUGCUUGAGUAUGGGAGAGGAGAGUGGAAUUCCCAGUGUAGAGGUGAAAUUCGUAGAUAUUGGGAGGAGCACCCGUGGCGAAGGCGACUCUCUGGACCAAUACUGACGCUGAGACCCGAGAGCGUGGGGAGCAAACA